UACGAAGGGGGCUAGCGUUGUUCGGAAUUACUGGGCGUAAAGGGCGCGUAGGCGGUCCUUCAAGUCAGGCGUGAAAGCCCCGGGCUCAACCUGGGAACCGCGCUUGAGACUGGAGAACUAGAGUUCGGGAGAGGGAUGCGGAAUUCCAGGUGUAGCGGUGAAAUGCGUAGAUAUCAGGAAGAACACCCGUGGCGAAGGCGGUUCUCUGGGACGGUACUGACGCUGAGACGCGAAAGCGUGGGGAGCGAACAGG
rnacentral:rRNA from 1 species